UAAACCAAAAGAAGAAGAUGAAGAUUGUAACGUCAGCUCAUCGUAAGCAUUAGGUAAGUGCUCGCUCACAAGCUUAUGAAUAAUUAUAUUGCAGCGAAUGCGUUACGACAGGCACUGUCAUUGUGUGAAUAAUUAAUGAUAUAGUGAUCCAAGCAUUACGUCGAGUUUGCCGUAAGCUUACCUCAUAGCCAUCAUAAGCCAGGUACGCUGACGGAAGGGUAACGUAACCACACGGAAGAGCCAAAAAGUACUAUGGAGGAAUACAAACACAAAAGAAGCAGCAGUAACAACAGAAGACAGUUUUGUCAUGUAAAUGGCCUUGGGCAAAAGUCUUUAUAACUGCAAUAACAUAAGUUAGUGGAAACAGUGUCAGGCUUUCCCAGAUGGAGACAAUAUAGUGAGAUUAUUCACCCAGUGUUUAUUCACAAGAUUGACCAAAUCUUAUUUAGAUGACCAAAUUAUGAACAAUGACCCACCCUGAGGCUGUAAGAGUGGGCCUGAUGAGAGAAUGCAUACUUGAAGCAGUUAUAGGACUUAAUAUAUUCAAGAAGACCAAGCGAUCCUUAUAGGACUACAUGCAAAGCAAUGUACUCCAGACCGCACAACUGGACAUACAAGUGGCCAUGCACGUACCAGUCAUUGUCUUAAGCCCAGGAUACACUGCAAGAUUUUUGCUCUCCUAUAAUAUCAUUACCUUAUCACACUGUGCGACAUGGAUCAUUUAAACUUGGAUUGUGCCCUGAUGCCAUCUUCCCUCUCUAUGCCUAGCUUUAAGUCGGUUGGCUCUUCUUUGGCUCUCUUCAUCCCGUCUGCCUGCCUCGCUGCUCUCCCUGAUAACAUUUCCUGACUGAUGCCUUGCACUCUGACUCUUUCUGCAAGGUGCCAUUCUGAGCAGUGACUCAAUUUAGUGCCACUCUGCUGCUUGGCAUUGCACUUCUGAGGUCAUCACCAUCUUUCUUCAGCCAACCAAAAUGAUUCUCACCAACCACCCCAGCUCUGCUAAGCUUGAUGUUGGAGGUCUGCUGUUUUUGAAGCAGGGGACCACUGUCCAUUAAAGGCUUCAUAAACCAUUUAACAAAAUCACAUAAGAUAGGGUAGUUCAUACUCCAUGCGAUGUGCCAUACAAUGGAAGGGCCAUGUUCCUUAUCACAUCUGGAUACUGCAAAGCUCCUGUCUGCUCAACAAUUUACGAAUUAAUCGUAAAUUACGAUCAAUUAUUAAAUGAAGAAAUGCUAUGUAAAUGCAAAGAUAUUUCUUCCUGUGGAAUUUGAGUCUUAAAUUUAGUAAUUACUGUUUUAUGGCAUAAAUAAAAGUUAAAUAUUAUAUUAUUUUAAAAGCAUCAUGUAUCUUUUUUCAUUCCUAAUGUAUUCUACUAGUAGUGUGUCAGGCACUUUAACCCUUAUGAAAAAAGCCAAGGAAAAUAGAGAGCAUCAUAUCAAAACAACUGUUUAUUUGCACAUGCAACAUUAAACUAUGGUAUACA